CAGUCGCCGCGGUAAUACGUAGGGUGCAAGCGUUAAUCGGAAUUACUGGGCGUAAAGCGUUCGCAGGCGGUUAUAUAAGACAGAUGUGAAAUCCCCGGGCUCAACCUGGGAACUGCAUUUGUGACUGUAUAGCUAGAGUACGGCAGAGGGGGAUGGAAUUCCGCGUGUAGCAGUGAAAUGCGUAGAUAUGCGGAGGAACACCGAUGGCGAAGGCAAUCCCCUGGGCCUGUACUGACGCUCAUGCACGAAAGCGUGGGGAGCAAACAGGAUUAGAUACCCCGGUAGUCCCUGUCUCUUAUAC
rnacentral:rRNA from 1 species